GUGCAACUACCUACUCUGCUGUGAGGAGUGUAGACAAUUCAGAUGUGCAACAGCAAACCAGCAGAGUUAACAGGGCCACCAGUCUCUCAAGAACAGGCUGAGUCGGUAGUAUAAUACUCUGACACUU
rnacentral:snoRNA from 1 species